rnacentral:rRNA from 1 species
UACGUAGGUGGCAAGCGUUAUCCGGAUUUAUUGGGCGUAAAGGGAACGCAGGCGAUCUUUUAAGUCUGAUGUGAAAGCCUUCGGCUUAACCGGAGUAGUGCAUUGGAAACUGGGAGACUUGAGUGCAGAAGAGGAGAGUGGAACUCCAUGUGUAGCGGUGAAAUGCGUAGAUAUAUGGAAGAACACCAGUGGCGAAAGCGGCUCUCUGGUCUGUAACUGACGCUGAGGUUCGAAAGCGUGGGUAGCAAACAGG